UCUCACUCACGCAACUACCCUCCCUGCUCCCUGACUCUCGCUUACUGGCUUAACGGCUUCCCAUCACUCUCGCUCGCAGUUGCCUCUCUUCCCCCUCACCCGUAACUGCCUCCCCUUACUCUCGCUCACUCUCGCUCUACAACUACAAUAAGCUUUCAAUUUUCUUUUUCCUUCCAAUGCCCUAACCUGCCAUGGGUGUUGGAUUAGAGCUCCAUGGUUUCAGUUUUGUUCUUCCUUAUAGUGCCCUAAUCUGCAAUGGGUGAUCGAAGCUUCAGGUUUCAGUUUUCUUCCUCAUUACAGUGCCCUGUACACUAGUUUUUUGCGAAACCUCCGACAUUUGUCAACCAUUAUGCUAGGGAAAUUUGAUUAAAAAAAGUACGUAUGUAGGAAGAGCAACACUUUUGUUUGUAGCCAUGUCCAACUCUUAUUCUCACAAGCGGACCAAAGAAGAAAAAGAAGCAGGUUCAUUACGUAUGCCUAGUCAUGGGUUUUAUUAAGCUUGGUCAUUUAUAUCAACAAAUUAUCCUUUUGUUAUUGAUUUCAUUAAAUUUAUUUUAUUUUAUGUCAACUUUUGCUUCACUAAAUCAACUCACAACCUACUUCAUCUGCUCAUAAUAUCAGUAGUUCACUUAAUUAUUUAUGCCCAUUGCUGGUGAUGCAGUGCUAAUUCAUUUCUACAUGCAUGUUUCAGUGAUUGCAUAUUUGUUGAAUAUCGCAUUUUCAAUUUACACACCUGUACAUUAUUGCAGUAUUGAUAAUUUUUUCUUAAUUUUAAAUAAAAGGCAAGGAAAUAUUGAAAUUCUUUUGAAACCCUAUAAUGAUUCUCUGCCUCUGUUAUUUCUCUGCUUCACACGAACUUAAUUAGUAGUUGAUGGCUGAAGAUUUUUCAAUUUUCAUAUUGGUGGUUGGAAUUAAUCUUCUUUGGAAUAGUGUAGUUGACUUAUCGAAAGAAGGAAAAGCCAAAUAUCGAAGUUCAUAAUAUUCUCUUUGAUAUCAAAGUUUUAAGCCAAUAGAAAAGCAAUAACUUGACUUUUCCAAUUGCUUGCUUUCUGGUUUAUAGGGAAGUUUAUUCUUUUCUAUGUGUUUAGAAGUUUGGUUGUUAGAUGGUGGCUACUGACUGUUACAUGUAAUAGGAACUUAAAAGUCGGCUUGAAUAGCAUUUAGUAGUCAUUUAUAAUGUAUGCCAAGUUCUCCACUNGAAUGAAUGAAAGGACAUAUAAAGAGCAGAGAUGAANUAAGGUGGACUACCUCUAUUUGCUCAAGAAUCAUGGUGCCUUAACAUUUGGCCUUUCACCAUUCUUUAAGGGGAAAAAUAUAAAAAGUAGUUCAAAGAUGCAGCUGCCAUGGAACUUAAGGUCACUGAGUAGCCUACAAUAUUGGACAAGUGUCAAAGGAAGGGUAAGAAUUGAGAAACACUAUGAACAAAUUGAAUAAUCCUGCAACUCUGCUAGCUUUAUGUUGGUAUUAGGCUAUAGACGGCAUAAGAUCUAAGGUGGGAAUUGUGAUAUUUACAUAAAUGACUUACAAGUUUUGCUAAUUUGUGUUCACCUUAUUGAUAUGCUUUCUGUUUUAUUUCAUUGGCCUUACCUUCAAGAAGAAUAGCACAACUUUAUGUUGAGAUUGUAACAAGGUGUAGGGAUAAGUACCUGAAUCUGAUGGAGAAUGGAGGAGUACCUAAAUCUGCAGAUCCGUCAA